AGGCAUAGACCACACCUAUCUCGUGACGUAUUAUAGGAGCUCUUCUCGUUGACUGGGUUUCGUAAUGAAAGCGGCAGUAUUGGAUUGCUGGUAUGUUCUGGAAGCGCCUUAUUAUGUUUGUGGUGUGCGCACCGUUCUAGGAGCCAUGAAAAGACUAUAUAAUUUUAGCCUGCACAAGAAAGGCUGCUGCAGGUGAAAGAAGAGAAGAGGAGAGAGAAAGGGAGAAGAAGAGAGAAGAGUUAUAACCGAAGUCUAACGUUGACCACAAAACGUGAAGACAGACGGAUCCGUCAAUACAGUCAGAUGACCUUCCUGUGCGCUAACGUCCACCAGUAUAGAAAGAGCAGAAACGGGGGAGGAAUUACGCACACGUGUGUGGAUGUACGUAAACAUACAAGCUUGAGCUCUUCUCGUUGACUAGGCUUCGUAAUGAAAGCGGCGGCAUUGGAUUGCUUGUACGUUCUGGAAGCGCCUCAUUGUAUUUGUGGUGUGCGUUUACCGUUCUAGGAGCCAUGAACAGGCCCUAGAAUUUUAGCUUGCGCAAGAAAGGGCAAACAGCUGCUGCAAGAGAAGAGGAGAGAGAAAGGGAGAAGAAGAGAAGAGGUCUAAACCUGCAAAAAGACUACCAGUACCUUGAUGAUGAUGAUACACAGGAGCCACAUGCACACACUAAGAGGUACCGCUCAGUGAGUUCCAUUAAGUAGACAAGAGUUAGACCCACCAACCAACAAAGCAGAACAGGAGCGACGGAGCGACUAGCAAGUUGGGAAGAAGAAUAGCCAUAAUGGUGUGUUGCAUGCAAUGGACUAUAGUUGGCGUCCAGAGCUGUUGACUCUAGAAACAUUAACCUUGAAGUUGUAGGAAUGGUGCAUAAGCUAAGUCUUGUAAUAGCAGUACGUGUCCAGAGCUAUUGAUGCUUGAACCUUAAAGUUGUAUGAAUGGAGCAAAAACUAAUUCUUGUUAUUAGAA